GGAAUCUUCCGCAAUGGGCGAAAGCCUGACGGAGCAACGCCGCGUGAGUGAAGAAGGCCUUCGGGCCGUAAAGCUCUGUUGCCGGGGAAGAGUGGUCUAAGGGGACUUAGACAGGGACGGUACCCGGCGAGGAAGCCACGGCUAACUACGUGCCAGCAGCCGCGGUAAUACGUAGGUGGCAAGCGUUGUCCGGAUUUAUUGGGCGUAAAGCGAGCGCAGGCGGUUUUUUAAGUCUGAUGUGAAAGCCUUCGGCUCAACCGAAGAAGUGCAUCGGAAACUGGGAAACUUGAGUGCAGAAGAGGACAGUGGAACUCCAUGUGUAGCGGUGAAAUGCGUAGAUAUAUGGAAGAACACCAGUGGCGAAGGCGGCUGUCUGGUCUGUAACUGACGCUGAGGCUCGAAAGUAUGGGUAGCAAACA
rnacentral:rRNA from 1 species